GGGCGCCUGGCGGGCCACAAGACCUCCUUAGGUCUCACUGGGGCCUCGGGUAGGGCCUGGUGCUGCUGGCCUAGAAGAGACAGGGCCACCCUUUCCCCCCCAACCCCCCAGCCCCCAGUCUCGCCCCUGCGCAGGCCCAGCGGCCGAUGGGCUCAGAAGUUGGCAAAAGUUUUGAGGUUUCACUACCGCCACCAGGUCCGCUUGCCCACCCAGGCAGGUACUGGAGGACAGAAUACAGAGGCCAAGAGUGCUGAGUGACCUGUGUAACCAUGACAGGCUGAGCUGGGAUCUGAACAAAGGCAGGCACACGGGGACCUCUUCAACCCAUCCAACUAGAGCAUCCUGCACAUUGGUCAAUCUCUCCUCAUCCCCUCUUUUCUCUUUCCUCUUCAACCUCUGAGUCUCUGCAGAUGCAGAUGUUGAGACCCAGAGAAGGGGAGCUGCUCGCCUAGGGAUACGUAGCAGGAGAGGAGGAGCAGGGCCUUUAAGCCAAGACCCAGACACUACGGCUGGUGUCUGUGCCAAGCCCCCAGACUGCUCCCCUGAUCCACUGGGGAAGCCCUGCUACCGACCAGGUGAGUGGAGAUGAGAGAG